AGGUUACAUUUAGAUUUUUAAUUUUUUUAUAAAAUUUUACAUUUUACAUUUACAUUUUACAAAGCUUCAGCAUAGGGUGUAACUUAAUUUUUCUGCAAAUGAAAGUUUAUGGUUGUAUGUUUUUUGCAAAAAAAUACUGGUAUAAUUUUUACUCUGAUUAGCUGUAGUUAUUUUUGUGUUAUAUGUACAGUCUUUAAAAUUAUUAGAAUAUGUAGUAGGUACUGCAUAUUAUGCAUAAAAUUUAUAACCAACAUUGAUAACAAGAUGGGAAAUGUUCAAGUUACUGUCUCUCUCCAAAUAUUUCACUGUAAAAAUUGUUUUACUGCAGUUUGAAAGGUGCCAAAGUCGGCCUUUGCAUUGUGGUGUGCAUUAGACAUCACGAAAUAGAAUUUAGUAAAAGCAUUGAAUCAUAUUUCACUUAGCAUUUCAAGGAGUUUGAGUAAUAGGAGUUGAAUGGUGGCAUUGCUUAUAGAAAAUUAUGAGUGCCAGAAGAUUGAUAUACUUUUUUAAGCCAAAUUGAAUGUGACAUUGCCUAGACCCCUAAGUACACAUGUAAACAUUUUGUUUAAUUAGAGUUUUGUCAACAGUAAAAAAGGCCCUUACAUCUCUAAGCUCCCCCUCCCCCUCCCUUAAGAGGAAUAUAUUGUGUCCUCAUUUUCCGAAGCUGCACAAGGUCAAAGGUGAAAGUAUCAUGAUAACCAAGCAUUAACGGUGUAGCUUUUCUUUGGUACUGUUGUCUGACUCACAUUUCUCUUUGAAAUCCUUGGGUUGAAUUUUAUCCUGCAGGUAGAUUAUGCAUGCACACUUGAAGAAGUGCAGUAGCAUUAAUUCUCUGCAGGAAGAUUCCUAGAUUCAGGCUUAUAUGCAAAAUGUGAGUUAUGGAUCUGGAGAAGGGAAUGAUAGGCUGCUUAUAUGCAAAAUGUGAGUUAUGGAUCUGGAGAAGGGAAUGAUAGGCUGCUUAUAUGCAAAAUGUCAAUGAGUUCAAGUCUAUAGAAAAGUUUAAAAUUUUCAAUACAAACAAUUUGUAAGUCAUAUUGCCUUAACAUGUUAGAAUUGUCUAUUUGGCUUAGUACUAACAGUCAAUGUUACAAGUGGGUCAACCUGAAUGCUAUCAAGAGGCUUGUGGAAGCUGAUGCACUCAAGAUGGAGAUCAUUCCAAACCCGAAGGUGGUCAAUGGAAUCAAGGUUCUUCAACUGGAAACUGCAGUUGGUGCGGCAAUUAGGGUAGAAAAUUGUACCAGUUAUGGUUAUGAUGUAUUAAAAUGUAAAAAGUUCUGUCUAACCAUGUGUUUUCCGUACGUGAUUAAGUUUUUUGAUCAUGCUAUUGGUAUCAAUGUACCUCGAUUGUGAUUUCUUAUGUCUUAUUCAUGAAUUUUCAUUUUAA